UACGUAGGGGGCAAGCGUUGUCCGGAUUUAUUGGGCGUAAAGAGCGCGUAGGCGGUCUGUUAAGUGAGAAGUGAAAUCUCCAGGGCUCAACCCGGAAACUGCUUUUCAUACUGGCAGACUUGAGGGAUGCAGAGGUGAAUGGAAUUCCUGGUGUAGCGGUGAAAUGCGUUGAUAUCAGGAGGAACACCGGUGGCGAAGGCGGCGUUCUGGACUGCAACUGACACUGAAAAACGAAAGCCAGGGGAGCAAACGGG
rnacentral:rRNA from 1 species